GACGAACGCUGGCGGCGUGCCUAAUACAUGCAAGUAGAACGCUGAAGGAGGAGCUUGCUUCUCUGGAUGAGUUGCGAACGGGUGAGUAACGCGUAGGUAACCUGCCUGGUAGCGGGGGAUAACUAUUGGAAACGAUAGCUAAUACCGCAUAAGAGUAGAUGUUGCAUGACAUUUGCUUAAAAGGUGCAAUUGCAUCACUACCAGAUGGACCUGCGUUGUAUUAGCUAGUUGGUGGGGUAACGGCUCGCCAAGGCGACGAUACAUAGCCGACCUGAGAGGGUGAUCGGCCACACUGGGACUGAGACACGGCCCAGACUCCUACGGGAGGCAGCAGUAGGGAAUCUUCGGCAAUGGACGGAAGUCUGACCGAGCAACGCCGCGGGAGUGAAGAAGGUUUUCGGAUCGUAAAGCUCUGUUGUAAGAGAAGAACGAGUGUGAGAGUGGAAAGUUCACACUGUGACGGUAUCUUACCAGAAAGAGACGGCUAACUACGUG
rnacentral:rRNA from 1 species